AGUGAACGCUGGCGGUAGGCCUAACACAUGCAAGUCGAACGGCAGCACAGGAGAGCUUGCUCUCUGGGUGGCGAGUGGCGGACGGGUGAGGAAUACAUCGGAAUCUACUCUGUCGUGGGGGAUAACGUAGGGAAACUUACGCUAAUACCGCAUACGACCUACGGGUGAAAGCAGGGGACCUUCGGGCCUUGCGCGAUUGAAUGAGCCGAUGUCGGAUUAGCUAGUUGGCGGGGUAAAGGCCCACCAAGGCGACGAUCCGUAGCUGGUCUGAGAGGAUGAUCAGCCACACUGGAACUGAGACACGGUCCAGACUCCGACGGGAGGCAGCAGUGGGGAAUAUUGGACAAGGGGCGCAAGCCUGAUCCAGCCAUACCGCGUGGGUGAAGAAGGCCUUCGGGUUGUAAAGCCCUUUUGUUGGGAAAGAAAUCCAGCUGGCUAAUACCCGGUUGGGAUGACGGUACCCAAAGAAUAAGCACCGGCUAACUUCGUGCCAGCCGCCGCGGUAA
rnacentral:rRNA from 1 species